UAAAAAUCGUUUUCAAACAUAAAGUCUUUUUAAUAGAAGAUAAUUUUCUGUUGAGAAAUAAUCCAUCGUAUUUCACAUCCGAUUUUUACUUAUUUCCGAAUUAUACGAAAUUUAAAAUUAAAACGAAAUAUUGGCCAUUUAUAGUAAUGAUUUAAAUUGUUUAACAUAAAAUUUUCGACGUAAUAAGUGAUGCAUUUGUUACGACGUCAUACAUCAUUAACAAUAGUUUUCAAUUGUUCUUUAUUUUAUUGUUUGUUGCCAAAAAUGAAGAGAAGGUCUUUCUGAAAAUUUUGAUUGUUUUUCUCUUUAUUUCGAAACCUUCCUCAGAAUUUUGAUUUGGUUACAUGUGUUAAAAAUAUUUUACAAGAAUAUCACUUUUUGGAUUGUGUUGCUUCAAGAUCGAGUUUUCUUUUGACAUUUCUUCCUCGCGACACUAGAAAGAAGAAUCGUGAUAAGUAGCUUAAUUUCUAUACUUUUUUCGUUUAAUUAAUGUCGAUAAUAAUCGAGGAUUAAUAGAUGAUAAUCAGCUUCUUUUGCAAACUUGAAUUAGUAUAGAAGUUUACAUUGUAAUUUUUGACAUUAUAAUUUUACAAAUCAAAAUACUAAAUCCAUUAUUUAGUAUAAAUACUAUUGUCGUUUAGUAAAAAUUCAUUAAAAAUUUUGUAAAAAAGAAUGGAAAAAACGAUUAAAACAUUUUAAAAAUUUAAAAAAUUAUAUAAUUAAUACAAUUGAUUAGAUUUAAAAGUAAUUAAAUUUAAUUUUUUAAUUUAUUAAUUGUCAAGAGUGGUUAUUUUAGUCAGGCUUACAAGAUAAUAUUUUCUCCGAAAAAAUAAUUCGCACUGGAAGUAACAUUUGACAGUAUAAGUUAGAAAAAAAGAUUUCUAUAAUGAUGAAUUCGGUUUCUGGACCGAAGACUAAAUGGCAGCAGCUAAGUAGCCGAUUUGUAAGAGGAUAUUGCAAGAAAUGAAUGGUAAUGCUGGCUGAAGCAAUAAUGAAAAAGAUUUUUGUUCUGAUUAUAGAAUUUCCAGGCUAGAAGAAACUUAAUAAUUAUCAUUGCAAAUAAGUUGAAAGAAAUAGUAAUUGUUUCCUUAUCUAAUUAUAAACAAUUUAUAUACCUGUAACCACGAACUUCAUAUGCAAUGUGCAAACAGGGUUCUGAAAAUGUGACAAGUCUUAAAAGCCACUAAUUAUAAACUAAGAUAGAAAAAUUAUAACAAGUAAACAACAAAAGUCUUUCCAUUAAACAAAAUGUUUAUUUCUGUUUUAAAGUUCACUGAUUUCUCACUUAUGAGUCGUUUUUCACUGGUCCUGGCUGAAGCCUAUGGGAGUUAAAGUCUAAAAUCUCCCAUUUGAACGAUUCUCAGUUUUAUACACUUACAUAUAUUUCAGACUAGUGUAUUUUUUCCUCUCUUUACUGUUGUGAUUGUCAAUCACAAGAACAGAGUGGAGUCACUUUGCCACGGGUCAAACAGGUAUCCAGGAAGAUAAAAGAGCAGAGAGAAUUAAAAAGUUAUAAAGUAAAAUUUGUAAGCAUUAUUUUGUUAUUUUUUAAUUACUCAAAUUAAAUAUUUGAUCCGCAAUAUGGAUUUAAUAAAUUUCUAAUUUAAUUUUGACCUAUUUUCGAAAAUGUUUGCCUUUUAAUAAGUAAUGCUUCCAUGCAAGUGGAAACAUUACAGAGAUUGUUGCCUAGCAAGCAGUUAGCAGUUAUGAACGAAAGCAAAACAAUUGUGGUUCAAAUUUAAUUGUAUUUAAAAUGCAUAAUACUUUAUCAACUGAGUGUCAAACAACGACCAGACAUGGAAAUGAGUCUCCCAAAAAUUUCAUGCAAGAUUAGUAACAGUUUACGAUGCUGGAACUGUGGACAAAGCUAAUGAUUUCUCAACAUGACUACUCUAGAACUACCUACUGCUUUCAUGUCAGAAGCCAUACAGAAACUGGUGUUUGAAGUUCUUGACAGUCCUCCUUACAGCCUAGAUUUGGCACCUUCAGACUUUUGGUCGAUUUCUAUUCUGAAGAGACGUCUCAAAGGAAUUGAUUUCGUCUGUGACGAUAUUCAAGCCGCCACGAGGAAAUGGUUUAGAGAACAACCUGAAGAUUUCUACAGAGAUGAGUUUGAAAACUGGUUAAACAUUAGAGUACCUGAAACAUUAGAGUAUCGAACACGAAAGAGACUAUCUAGAGAAAUGAAAUGCGUUAAUUAAAAAUUAGAAAUAUUGAACUUUGUUCAGUUUGAUAUCUUACUGUAGAGCUUGUACAUAAAUAUGGAGGCAUUACUUAGGAAGUCUCAUAUAUAUAAUUAGCUUAAUUAUUAUCAUAUUAUUAUAAUUAAUUGUAACAUAUUUUAUAAUUAUAUAUUUCAAUGUGUUAUAUAUAUAAUGUAAAACUAUGUGGUUACUUUCAAAAUGUAAACAAUUCCUACUUUAUUCAUUGCUAUUGCUUAUAUUUUUAGAUGCAUUAAUGACAAUAUCUAUAGAUAAGAAUUUUGCACUCGUUGUAAAGAUUAUUUAUAUCAAUUUGGUGUUAAUUCUUACGAUUUUUAACAUUUAAUCGUUCUUGUAUUUAGUUUAAAAAGAAAAAUCUGUUUUA